rnacentral:piRNA from 1 species
UGGUGCAUACUGGCAUUGGCCCUUGGU